CAAAGGUGGAAUUAGACAUGAUGUUUUAUUGUGUUGUGUGUUGUGUGUUGUUCUGCGGAGCAGGUGUGAAUCUGUGUGUAUGCGAUUUGGUGUGAAUGGAUCUUUUCUACUUAACAGCUUAACGGCUAAGUUGGUUCGGGCGGGAACCAAAACAUCGGCGAUCAUACUUUUUGGUUAGGUAGAAACCCUAGUAGUCCGGGCGUACGUACGUUA
rnacentral:rRNA from 1 species